AUUGUCCAUCUCCCACUGUUCAUUCUCUCUCUCUAGAAGGCGCAGUAUUUAGGGCCAAGCCCUCCGGACCUUCUUGUUUAUAGAAGGCGACGCUAACGUGCGCACCUCACUGUCUUCGAAGAAUCCAUUAGCGCAACUAGACCCAGUGCUUCGAUACACAGAGGGGAAUUCGUAGAAGCAUUGAUAGAACCUGGCCAGAACUCGAUGCCUGAGACCUGAUACGAUUGAUUGUAUACAUGUAUAUUUGAAUUCUAGGGUUUGGAUUGGAUAUCUGAAUAAAUUUGUUUUUUGGGGGUUAGCUGAAAUUUUGUUGUAUAUGGGUUUGAAUGGUUGAAGAGAGGAAUUGUUGUAUGAGUGUCAUUCGAGAAUGGAUUGAUGGAAUGUGAUGGGUGGGAUUCGAGAUCCGUUCAGGUGGGUUGCAUGUUGGUUCUGACAAGAAAUCUGUGCUAGGGUUAGGUGUGGACAGUGCGUCUUUACAACCUAGGGCUAAAAAGAUGGAAAGGGAAGAGAAGAAGUCUGGUUCUAAGAAAAGAUCAAAGCCAAUUCAGGUUGGAUUUGAUGCUGCUGAUGAUGAGCCAAUUGGGGCUUUGUUUAAGCUGAAAAGCAAAAGAAACCCUAAGAAGGUUAAGAAAGAAUCGGAUGGAGUUGGGAAGAAAGACAAUGAUGUCGAGGUUUUGGCAGAAAAAAUGGUGGUUGUGGAUGAGGAUUUGGGAGGCAUGGAAGAUACAUUAGCUUGUUUUAGAAAGAAGCUGAAGGGUCCAAAGAAAGACAGUGGAUCUGAAAUGGAAGUGGGGAGGAGUUUGGAUUUGGAUGUGGCAGAAGCAUCAGCCCAACUGUUGAAUGGACCUGCAAAGGGCCAAGGUUUGGAUAUGGAAACAAAAGCUGUAGAAAAAGGUGAGGUGACUGGUGAGGAUGGAUGUGACGGGAGUACUGAUAAAGAUCUAGAUAAUAGGGGUAAAAUGCAAAUUAAAGAAUCGAAGCGGGCUUCAAAGCCGAAGAAGACUGGAGGUCAUACUGGGUUUCACAAUGCGUUGAAUGGUCAGGGAUCUGGGGAUAAUUCAAUACAGAAUCAGAAAGAAACCGUUUUAGGGUCUGGGGAAGGCUCCAAUCCUUGUCUGGAUGAUAAUUUAGAAGAUCCAUUGUCUGCCAUUUUUCGGAAGGCACCCGCUGUCCCAGAAGAAUUCAAAAGAAAAAGAAAGAAAUCAGAUGAGAAGAAAUCGGGAUCGAUUAGGAAAUCUGGCGGUCAUUUGAGAUCGAAAAACAGAUGGGAAACUCAAGAUCCUCAGAAUGGGUUGAGCUCUGAUGAUGUCUCGAAUGGGAUUCAGAUACGUCAGAUAUCUGAUGAGAACAUGCAAGAGAAUCCACCUUCCAUUGACACUAUGUCAGGGCUUUCUUCAACCCCAGUAAUCGCAGGUGUGAAUCUGAGAUCUAGUGAUAACUUGCAUGGGGGUUGUCAUGAACCUAUUUUAGAAGAUACAGUUCCAAGUUCCUUUCUUCAAAGGUCUAAAUCCUGCCUAAGUGUAUGUUCCAGUAAGAGUACAAGACUUAAAGAUGGUGAAGUUGACAGACAGAUAGGUGGGAUUCAAGAGGGACCCCCAUUGAAUGGCUGUGGCUUGGACCAUCUGCGUGAUGGAGAUUCUGAUGCCCAGAAUAGUAAGGGUGGAUUGAGGGCAAUUGAUUUGACACAUGAUGUUGCUGAAGUGCCUAAUUCAAUAUCUGUCCCCUUGCAAAUGGACGAAAUCCAUCAGUUUGAUGUGGGUGUGCCAAAUGCAGGCUUAAAUGAUGCAAUGGACCAACAACUCUCGAGCCCUUCUACAAUUCACAUUUCUAGUAUGGAUCAGAAAAUUAGCUCUUCUUCCGGAAAAGAUCAGGAGCCUUGUUUUGACGAUGCUUCAUUAAACAGAUCGUGUGAAGAUAAAUCUCAAGAGACCCUUAAACAGCUUAUGGGCAAAAUUUUGGAGCGUCCAGCAAAACCCCCUUUGCAGUACUCAUCAAAUAAUAAGAAGAUGGAUGUGGCUUCAAAAAUGGAAGUUGACCUUGAUUUUCACCACCCAUCCCUGAAAAGUAUCCACAGUUCUCAGCUUCAGUCAUCAUGCUCUGCGUUGGGUUCACCAAAGAAGGAAGAAACUUCUAGUGGCUGUGAUGGUUUAGAUCAAGUUCCUGGGAUGUGCAUUGAAGAACUAGAUCUUACCUCAGUUCAGAUGUGUUGUUCCUCUGUCUAUCAGAAUCAACCUUCCGAUGAUGUGCCCAAAGAGACUUGUGUUCCAAACCAUGUUCAUCUUUCAGGCAGUGGAGAGGCCAAUGGAGACUCUUCUCCAUCCAUCUCGCCGGAUCGAAAUGGAAGUUAUGCAGAACGUAAAGGGAAUCAGCUGCCUGAUCCGAAAUUUAAAGAUAAGAAGCAAUCAGUAGUACAGCGUGUUUUGCGGAAGCCUAAAAAGCACAGGCAUGGGGAUAUGGCUUAUGAGGGGGAUGCUGAUUGGGAGAAUCUGAUUCAGCAAAG